rnacentral:rRNA from 1 species
CACGGAGUUAGCCGGUGCUUAUUCGUAUAGUAUCUUCAGCUACCCUCACGAGAGUAGGUUUAUCCCUAUACAAAAGAAGUUUACAACCCAUAGGGCAGUCGUCCUUCACGCGGGAUGGCUGGUUCAGGCUUGCACCCAUUGACCAAUAUUCCUCA